UAAUUUAAAGUCUAGCCUGCCCAAUGAGAAUUGAAUGGCCGCGGUAUUUUAACCGUGCUAAGGUAGCAUAAUCAAUAGUUUUUUAAUUGAAAGCUGGAAUGAAGGGUUGGAUAAAAAAAUAACUGUCUUUAUUUAAUUUUAUUAGAAUUUUAUAUUUAAGUUAAAAAGCUUAAAUUUCAUUAAAAGACGAGAAGACCCUAUAGAGUUUUAUAUAUAAAUAAAUUAUUAUAUUUAGAAUUAAUUUUAUUAAUUUAGGUAUUUAUUUAGUUGGGGUGAUUAAAAAAUUAAUUUAACUUUUUUUAUAAUUUAACAUUAAUUAAUGAAUAUUUGAUCCAAAUUUAGUGAUUAUAAGAUUAAAUUACCUUAGGGAUAACAGCGUUAUUUUUUUUUAGAGUUCAAAUCAAAAAAAAAGAUUGCGACCUCGAUGUUGGAUUAAAAUUAAUUUUUGGUGUAGGAGCUAAAAUAUUAGGUCUGUUCGACCUUUAAAAUUUUACAU
rnacentral:rRNA from 1 species